AAUGUUUUUCAACUAGAUUGUUCUACAAAAAUGAUUGUUCUACACAAAUGAUUGUAUACACGCUCUUUACUUAAUAUAUAGUAAUAUGUCUUUUUCAGAUAUUGUAGUUUUUAAAAGUAAUGAGAUUAAUUUCAAGGUUUAGGGUAUUGUUAGCCACUAUUUUGCAACCACUUGACCUAAUGUAAUUGCAGUUUAGUAGCAUAAUUUGGCUAAUAAAAUUUAAUUAGAAAGUAGAAAGCACUUCUGAUUGGUCAAUUCUCAAAGGUAAGGAUUGGCUUUGUUCUUCCAACACCGUUGAGAUUAGUAAAUCUCACAGCCAAGACUUAAUCAGAUUUUCUUAUUUCCUUUCUCUUCCCUGCUAAGCAAGAUGCAUUGCGAUUUCCUCUUCUGUGGACGCACUGGAAUAUGAUCCGGGACUAAUUCCUGAGACAUCAGGUCAGAGAUCUUAGGAGUAGAUGCCGUGGGGAGAAGGAAUUCUACGACUGAUUGAGCCAACAAAUCCUAGCUAGAAUCUAAUCUGGAAAGAGCUCUCUCCUUAUCUGAGGAGGACCAGUGAUGAAACGGGAAGGGAAAGUGGUGGUGUAACGGAGCAUACGCGCCGGAGGUGGUGGUGGCGUGACGAAUCGGAGGAACCGCAGAUGCUGUAUCUAUCAGACCAACACCAGUGGCUUCCCGACCCGAUCGAGUAGUCGCUUUAGAUGGAACCACUCCGAGUCGCCGCUUCAUAUGGAACCACUCCGAUUCGUCGUGGUGCCGUUCAACCAGUGGUGGAAACCGUGCCGCCGUGGCUGAACCCAUAGAGAUGAUGAUGGUGUAUUUGUGUAUUUGUGUAUAUUUGUGUAUUUAUCUUUGUAAUUUUACUUUGAGAAAAUGACUAGGAUAGCACUAAAAAAGUUUGUGUCACAAAUAUAACCUCCUAAGAAUAAAAAUGACCAAAA